UACGAGGGGGGCGAGCGUUGUUCGGAAUUAUUGGGCGUAAAGGGCGCGUAGGCGGUUGGGUAAGUCUUGUGUGAAAUUUUCGGGCUCAACUCGAAGUCUGCACGAGAAACUAUCUGGCUUGAGUGUGGGAGAGGUUAGUGGAAUUCCUGGUGUAGCGGUGAAAUGCGUAGAUAUCAGGAGGAACACCUGUGGCGAAAGCGGCUCACUGGACCACAACUGACGCUGAGGCGCGAAAGCUAGGGGAGCAAACAGG
rnacentral:rRNA from 1 species